UACGUAGGUCCCGAGCGUUGUCCGGAUUUAUUGGGCGUAAAGCGUGCGCAGGUGGUUUAUUAAGUCUGGUGUAAAAGGCAGUGGCUCAACCAUUGUAUGCAUUGGAAACUGGUAGACUUGAGUGCAGGAGAGGAGAGUGGAAUUCCAUGUGUAGCGGUGAAAUGCGUAGAUAUAUGGAGGAACACCGGUGGCGAAAGCGGCUCUCUGGCCUGUAACUGACACUGAGGCUCGAAAGCGUAGGGAGCAAACAGG
rnacentral:rRNA from 1 species